UGCGUAGGCGGUUCGCUAAGUUGGAUGUGAAAACUCUGGGCUCAACCCAGAGCCUGCAUCCAAUACUGACGAGCUAGAGUUCUGGAGGGGGUAGCGGAAUUCCUGGUGUAGCGGUGAAAUGCGUAGAUAUCAGGAGGAACACCGGUGGCGAAGGCGGCUACCUGGACAGAGUCUGACGCUGAGGCACGAAAGCUAGGGGAGCAAACAGGAUUAGAUACCCUGGUAGUCCUAGCCCUAAACGAUGGAUACUUGGUGUGACUGGGAUUGAAUCCAGUCGUGCCGAAGCUAACGCAUUAAGUAUCCCGCCUGGGGAGUACGGUCGCAAGGCUGAA
rnacentral:rRNA from 1 species